AACGAGCGCUGGCGGCAUGCCUAACACAUGCAAGUCGAACGAGACCUUCGGGUCUAGUGGCGCACGGGUGCGUAACGCGUGGGAACCUGCCCUUAGGUUCGGAAUAACUCCCCGAAAGGGGUGCUAAUACCGGAUAAUGUCUUCGGACCAAAGAUUUAUCGCCUUUGGAUGGGCCCGCGUUGGAUUAGCUAGUUGGUAGGGUAAAAGCCUACCAAGGCGACGAUCCAUAGCUGGUCUGAGAGGAUGAUCAGCCACGCUGGGACUGAGACACGGCCCAGACUCCUACGGGAGGCAGCAGUGGGGAAUAUUGGACAAUGGGCGAAAGCCUGAUACAGCAAUGCCGCGUGAGUGAUGAAGGCCUUAGGGUUGUAAAGCUCUUUUACCCGGGAUGAUAAUGACAGUACCGGGAGAAUAAGCUCCGGCUAACUCCGUG
rnacentral:rRNA from 1 species